UAGUUAAAUCAUUCAGUAUUCAUUUUUCUCCGAUUUCUCGCAUGAAAGGUUUAUAGUUUUUAAGAUGAUAACAGUUUUCUUCAUGGUAAUUACUUAAGAUAAAUUUGAUAGCAUAAAGUUGUUUUUAAAGAAAAUAUAUUUUGCAUGUUCCUAUGAUGCACGCAACGUCAGAAACCAUGAAGCGCUGAACGACAUAUUGACCAGAGAGGAUUCUACCUGUAUUUUUAAGAUGCAAGAAAGUCUUAAAAGGAUGUUAUACUAUAUUGCUUAAUAGAGAGAAUCCGCUCCAGGCAUAGUCAGCAACCUAUAGCACUGAUUGUUGGAAGUCAGCUGAGUUGUUCUUACACGUGACAAUAAAAUAAAGGUACCAUUAGGAUUCUUACCGCAAAGGAUGUCUAGAGAGCAAAGGGUGAUAUAAGGAACCAAAUCGAACGAUUUGCUGCCCACUUCCUGCUUUAGCUUCUCGGCUAAAAAACGAGCGUGGUUGUCGAUGACCGGUAAGAAGUCGUCCAGGAUGCGGAAAUGGAAGGCAGGGGUCAGGAGCUUCCUCCUCUUCUUCCAUUUUAUUCCAGAACUAGGUCAUAAUUUCACUUUGAAAAGCAUGAAUCAUUUUUGGAAUAGCUUCGGAAAACGAAUGCUUGCCAUUUGCAUAUGAGCACAGUUUCAACCAGGAUGUGGCAAUGACUGACGCAACUGACAGAAUUAUUUAAGAAAAGAUAAAAUUUUAUGAUCAAAGCUGGCGUAUCCUUUGGAUUUUUAUAUCAUAAUAUGUUAAAUAAUGGUCUGUGUGUUUUAUGUGGCAAUAAAUGUUGAAAGUCUGCAAUAAGCCUGAGGAAUAAAACAUUUUUCGCUUUUUUUUAA